rnacentral:rRNA from 1 species
ACGGAGGGUGCAAGCGUUAAUCGGAAUCACUGGGCGUAAAGCGCACGUAGGCGGCCCGUUAAGUCAGAUGUGAAACCCCUGGGCUCAACCUGGGAAUGGCAUUUGAUACUAGCGGGCUCGAGUCUGAUAGAGGGGGGUGGAAUUCCAGGUGUAGCGGUGAAAUGCGUAGAUAUCUGGAGGAACACCGGUGGCGAAGGCGGCCCCCUGGAUCAUGACUGACGCUGAGGUGCGAAAGCGUGGGUAGCAAACAGGAUUAGAUACCCUGGUAGUCCACGCCGUAAACGAUGUCGACUAGCCGUUCGGUCCAUUUAAGGAUUGAGUGGCGCAGCCAACGCGAUAAGUCGACCGCCUGGGGAGUACGGCCGCAAGGUUA